rnacentral:lncRNA from 1 species
GGGAAAGGUCACUUGGAAAGUGGCCACCCCGAGCUUUUUCACCAGCUCAUGCUCUGGAAGGGAGAUCUGAAAGGCGUUCUCCAGGCUGCAGCAGAGAGAGGCGAGCUCACAGACAGUCUCGUGGCCGUGGCACCAGUAGCUGGCUACAGUGUGUGGCUGUGGGCUGUGGAAGCCUUUGCCAAGCAGCUGUGUUUCCAGGAUCAGUAUGUCAAGGCUGCCUCCUACCUGCUAUCCAUCCACAGAGUGUACGAAGCUGUGGAGCUUCUCAGGUCAAACCAUCUCUACAGAGAAGCUAUUGCAGUUGCCAAGGCUCGGCUGCGCCCUGAGGACCCUGUUCUGAAGGACCUGUACCUCAGCUGGGGGUCCAUCCUGGAGAGAGAUGGCCACUAUGCAAUUGCAGCCAAGUGGUAAGCAGCGAGAGGUCAAGGCCAACUUAGUAUCUGCCAAGACACAACAGAAUAAAAGACUUGAGUGUUG